AUAAGUUCUAAUAUAUUAAUAAGAUUAUUUAAUUAGUAUUGAUCAAGAAUUAAUAUAGAAUUAAUUAAGUGAUCAAAAGAAGACUAAUUAAAUAUAUGGGUUGAUUAUCAUCUAUACUUAUAUAGUGGGCUAAUGCUCCAUGGAUUAUCAAGUUGGGCUAAAACCCAUAGGAUGCUCCAUGGAUGAUCCAUGGUGUAUUUGAACCCAUGGAUCCAAGGAAAUGGAAAGCCAUGACAAUUAGGGUUUACCCUAAUUGUUACUAACUAUAUAAUGAUCUUAUGAUUGAAUAAAUCAGCCACUAGUUAAACAAGUGAGGGCAAGCCGAUUUUGAAGUGUUCUAUUUUCUCUCUAAGUUAUUCCAAAUGCACUUGAUGUUGUGUGAACCAUUUGAGGUGUCACACUUGGGGCACUAGUUAGGAUGAAUACAUUGGAAAGAUCAUAUUUGCAUUUAUAAUAGAGAAAACAUACAUCCAAGGUAUUUAGGGUUGCAUUUACACUUAGGAGUGUUAGAAUGCUCAAAACCCAACAGUAGUAUCAGAGACUAGGCUUGUUUUCAACUAUACUUGAUGCAAAGUGCUGAAAAAUGCUGAGAAAAUCGAUUUUCUGGCUUUCUGGGCACUGGACUCGCCGAGUUCACUGAUGAACUAGCCGAGUCCAUAAAGAAAAUCAUCCUACUCGUCGAGUAGGUUCAUACACUCGACAAGUAGGAGCCUCAGACAACAUAUUUUCGACUUUUAAGGCUAGAAUUGGACUAGAAUCAUUACCCUAAGCUGUUUUUGAACCUAUAAACCUGUUUUUGAUGUGGUAAUGUUCAUUCUAAUCCAAUUUCAAAGAUAAUUGUCAAAAGUUUUAUGUUUUGUAUUAGUUUAAUGUUUAGACUAAUUACAUGAAAAUUGUUUGAUUUGAAUUGUCUUGUUCAUAUGAGUUUAAUCAAGAUUAUGAAUAUUGCUAGAUAUGUUUGUGAUAGUUGUUUUUGAUCCAAAUUGAUCUAAAAUUUAUUCAUAGAAUGUGUUUUUUUAACUUGUACUCAAGUUACAUGAAAAGUCUCAUUAAUGAAUUUUAUUAAAAAACAGAGGUUAUGAACUUGAAAAGUCUUUUCUGCAUAAAUUGUUUUAUGACCUCCAUAACUUGUCCUCAAGUUAUGGAUUUCCAAGAGUCUCUUCAUUAAAAGUUUUAAAAACUUAUAUUAAACUCAUAUGUUAGGAAAUUGAAGAGUUUUGAAAAGUUUCAAAACUUGUUCUCAAGUUUUGGAAUUUGUAAAGUCACCCCCAUGUACACUUUAAUUCCAAACCCUAGAAUUUUAAAAGUUAAAAGUUCAAACUUUAUGGACUUCAUUAAAUUAAUCAAAGUGUGUAAUUAAAAGAGUUAAUAAUUUCAUAAAGACAUGAUUUAAGUUUAAUUAAAUUAAGAGUAUAGUUUAAUUAAUAGAUUAAGCCACCAAGUAUUUUAAUUGUUUAAAAUACAACCUUAUACUUAUAUAAUAUUAAGAAUUUAAUUAUUAUAUAUACGUAUAAGAUAAAGUCAAUCUUACCGUUAGUAGGCCUCAUUCACGAAGCCGGUCUAUAAGGGGGUAUAAGGUUACUGCCUAUAAAUGACAGUUUAAUGGGUGUCCACUCUUACCCACCGCUUCCUUGACUGGUGGAGGGUCGUUAGCCGAACGGGUAGGAAAGGACUAUAAUUCUCCCUUCAUUAAAAGUAUAAUGAUAAAUACUAAGUAACUAAACACUUAUAAAUUCCCAAUCUUAGUUACUUAGGAAAAUGUGAAAUGGUGCUAACCCAUGCAAUUACACUUUGCACCUUUGUUAAGUCGUUAGUGGAGCGUGUGUGGUUAACCGACACAUCGAUUAGGUGAUAAAAUUAAGGGUACCAAGUCAAUUUGCAUGGUUAUUCACACCUUGUUUGUGAUCAUCGGCAUCCCAGUCACAAACUUGAGAGGGCACAAUCGAGAUUCAAACAUGCCAUUGAAGGUUCAAUGUAUCUCAAAAGAUCUAGGAGUUUCAAAUCCAAUUAAAACUUAAUGAAUAAUUUUGUUUUUCAUGGUGGAACUUGGUAAAUCAUCAUUUACCUACCUUCAAAUAUUCUAUAGCUUGGAUUACGACAUCCCUCUUCCAAGUUAUAAAAUAGUUUGUUGGGUCCUUGCCUUAAUAUUUCAUAUUGGGUGUUAUGUUAAGGACUUUAAAUCAACUAAACUUGAAUUUCUCCCAUUAUAGUUGUCUUGUUAAGACAUCUAUGGUCUUCCCAAAUCUUUAGGAACAAGCUUCCUAAUGAAGAUGAUAUCCCAAAUGGAAACCAAGGUGAAAGAUCAAUCCUUUUGUUGCGCAUUAGUGGGACUAGAAAUCAUACUUCACUUCCUCCACAUCCUCAAAUAAAUCUCCCAAUCCCACAAGUUUCAAGACUUGAUAAGUUCUAAGUCACUCACUCCUUAUUGGCAAGCCGGGAGAUUCGGGUGUCAAAGUCUCGAGGUAGCUGACUGUUGACUUGGUUCAUCAGUCAAUCCCUGAUGACAGAUCAUGACAUGACCCUUAGUGAUCUUACCUAUUUGCUUGAUAAUGCUAAAUCAACAAUGAUUUUGGGCAUUAAUAAAGUAAAUUGGAUUGGAAGAUCUACUUCCCGAACCCAGUUGAACAUUGAAAAUGGUUGCAUUGGAAGUCCAGAAAAACUUUCUCUUCCCAAUGGAAAGGGAUCGACCAUGGUCAAGUCGUUUGACCCAAUGGUAAAGAGAAAGGCUAAGUAUGUGAUAGUCUCGUGUACCAUUUCCAAAGAGUCCAUAUGUUUCUUUUGCCAAAUGAAGGGGCAUUAGUUGAGAAGUUGCCGAAUUUACCUAAAACCUCAUAAGGAUGGUAAAGUCAAAAGUUUGACUCUACUUCAGGUAAAGUCCGUUAUCUAACUCUAUUAAGUCUCUUUUGGAGAUUCUUAAUACAUGAUGUAAUGUAAUUACAUUUUGAUGUUUUUGAAGAAUCAAAGGAAGCUUAAAGAAAAGGUGUGCUGAUUCUAAUCACAUGGUUCGAUGACCAGAAUUUUGAGCCACUGCAUAAGAGUUAUGAGAUAUUGCUUAGGAAUAGAUAACAACAAAGUUUUCAUAUAAAUUUGCAUUGUAAGGAUAAGUUUUUCCGCAAGUGUUAAAAUAAAAGAAAAUUUUUUAUUUUAUUUAUUGUAAGUAUCCUUACAAAGGCAUUUGUAAAAAAAUGUUGUUUAUAUGUUUCCAUUGAUAAGCCAUAUUGGAAAAUGAAUUUGAUUCUUUCGUUUGUGGUAGUGUCAUAAUUUAUCAAAUAAGGAAAGAUUCUCAUCACCCAAGUUUCAGUUGGAUAGAAACUUGGAAUCAUGCAAGUUGUAUUGUGUGAUGAAUGUGAAUUUUCAUCUUUGGUAAAUUAAGACUAAUUCCUUGUUCACAUUCGCAUGUGAGUCAAGCGAAGGACUAAAGGAUCGGGUACAUUAGGUUGUGCACUAGUCAGGUCCACCACAAAGGUUGAUAAUAUUAUUCGUUAUGAUUUACUAAAGUUUAGUAAAUAUGAUUAUGCUUACAAGUUUAAGUGUAGUUCUGAAACAUUGGAAAAGUUUCAUUGUAUGGAAGAAUGAAUAAGAAGAAUCAAAUAAGGCAGAAAGAUAAAAUUUUAUCCAAUCUGAAGAGAUGGGAGAGUACUUGUGUAUCUUGUUUUAUGAUUAUCUUAGUGAUUAUGGAACCAUAUCACAAUUGAUCCUCUAAGGGAACCUUAGUGUAUUUGUUGGCUAAGGAGAGGAAUUGUGAAUUAUGGAAAUGGUUAAAUCAAAAGAUAAAUCAUACUUCGUUCCAAAAUCAAAUCCUAGAGUCAUACUCCAAGAUUGAGACUUGAGUGACUUAAUCUUUAGGAAUUUCAUAAUACUUGUCAAAUGUAGAGUAAGAUGUUUCCUAUUCUUGUACAUAUGAGAUUGGUAAGUUGUGAUGUUUUGGAUAAAACAAAGACCAACUAAGACCAAUUGUGAAAAGUGUUUAACUUGAUAAGAAUCCGCACUAACUCUUGAAUAUUUGUUUUGUCAAGGAAUGGUUCUUGACAAAGAGAAUCUUAUAUGUCAAGAGGACAGUGGGAGUCUUGAGAUAGUUUUUGAGAACUGAUCAAGAGUAUUGUUAAUCACUAGCCCACGACUUAAGGUUUAUAACCAAUCAUGUUGACUUAAUCUUGUUUCUAUGCCAUUACAGUAAAAGUUGACUAUGCUUGUGAGUUCUAUGAGUUCUCAAUUGUUUGCAUAACAACCUGGAAGCAAUGGUAGGCCCUUGUGCUGCCGGGUGGCAAAAAAUUAGGAUUGAACAAGUUCAGUCCAUAUGUGUUUGGAUUUGUCACUGACCCUGUUUUGUGAUUAUGUAUAUGACAAAUUCACUUGGAUAGGAGCACAUACACCAUAAAAAUCUAAGUGGCAUAAGUUUUCUCUUUGAUUCAUGAAAAUGGUGGUGAGGAAACGCUUUCACUAAGAAGAUUUUAAGUAGAUAGCAAUUGUAAUCUUUGCAUUCUCAAAGUCGUUAGUGGAGCGCGUGUGGUUAACCGACACACUAACAUAGACUUGUGAGAAAUGGAAAAGGUCUAAACAAUUGAAACUAUGAUUACGACAUCCCUUUUCAUAGUUCUAAAAUUGUUUAGAUACACGUGUGAGCUAUAUAAGGAAAGGUGUAGGAUUUUGAUAAAGUUUUAUCAAAGCAUCUCGUAUCAGAAAUCUGAACUUUGGUAAGAAAGUCAAUAAAGUAUUGAUUUCAAGAAGUCCAGCUGAUUUCUGGAUACAUGUUAGAGCUAGUGGGAGCAUAAGUGUUAUGCUAAUAAUCAUUAUGUUAGUGGGAGCAUGAUUAUUAUGUUACAUCUUGCAAGUUAGCAAUGUUAAUUAUAGAAAACAAAAGUUUCAAUUCGCUUUGAAAAGUUGUUUUGCUAUAAUUAAGGGAGAGAAUUUUAUACUUCAUUCCAAUUCUACAAGCUUAGAUUGAGAUUUUAAUUAGCUUUAGUCAAGGAUAUAUAUGAAUGUUAUGUUGGAAUGGUUCAACAUAAAGAAAUUCUAUAUAUGUUGCGUUCUCAAAAUUCGAUUAUGAUUACGACAUACCUCUUCAUAGUUCGAACUGUGAGAACAUGGCAAAUAAAAAUUUUAUAGCAUGAUUCAUGUCCCAUAUGCUUUGGGUAUAGGUUUGAUUACAUGUGCUAUAAUAUUUAUCCAUUAUAAUUUUUCUAAAUGCUUAGGGCAUUAAGAGGGAAAAAGGAAUUGAACUGGAUAUGACUAAAAUGAUUAAACAAUUGUCGAGGACAAUCUGUGAUUUACCAAAGAUUGGUUACUCGUGGACAAUUGGAAGUAUAAUGUAAUCUUUGGAAAUGACCAUAUUGACAUAUUUAGAAAAGAGGCAACUCUUGUUUAGAAGUGAUAAACACAAUGGUAAGAUUAGAAAACUUAAUGCAAAGAAGGGUGUUCAAAGGAAUGUACUUUGAAUAUGAGACUUCGUUUCAUGGAAUUGNUCUCCAUUGGAAUACUUUGUAAUGUAUGUUGACAAGUCUUUGUGACUUUUGUGCAUAGUCAUUACAGGAGAAUCAAUGCAUAUAAGUUUAGAAUCUAACAUAUUACAGUAAAUGGCAAGAGUUUGGUAUUCUUACAUUUACAAAAGGGAUUGAGAUUGUGAAAUGACAAAUGAUCAUCAUUGGAGUCAUGUUCAAUUGAUCCAUUUCACAAAAGAAAGGACCAUAAAUAAACAUAGUGUGAAUGCUUGGUGCAUGGCAUGACUAUUGUUCUAAUUCAAGUAUUAAGUUGAUAAAUCAAAAAAAUGAAUAAUGAGUAAUCAAUAUGGUGAUUAGAUAAAAGGGUUUUUAUUUACACUNUGAGUUUGGGGCCAUAUGGGAUAAGUAUUAUUCUUGUGUUUCACUUUGCAUGUUUUGACUUCUAGAAUAACUAGGUCGUUCUUUCUGAAUGACUAAGUUAUUCAAACCAUCCAUAGUCGAUCAUACAUUGGAAGUAUGUAUGAAUCAAGACGUCAUGAAUUUGGCUUGUAUGAUUUGUCUAAGGUGCAUUAGACAUAGCAAUGGUUGCUGCAACAUUCAUGAGUGCUCCUGGAACAAGAUUCGAGUAUUGGAUUCAACCCAUGCUCAUUUGAAUCACUUCAUGGAUUUUAUCACGAGUGAAUCAUGAGACGAUAAUAUCUUAUAUUCUUCAAACCUAGAGAUAUGAGUUGGUUGUACAUUGAUUGCACGAAAACACAUUCGGUAACUCGAUGUUAUAAAACGUGCCUUUGUGUAUGAUUCAACAAGUAGUAGAAAAAGCCAUAUGAGUCGAAGUUUAUCCAUUCCUUUUACCUUCGGGAUAAAAGCGAUAUCUGUGGGACCCUCGAUGAUUUAGUGAUGACAAAAUGUAAGUGCUAGGCCGGGCUUGGACUAAUUUGAUUUGUUCAAUUAGUUAGUCGUCAUAAAUCGGAUAUCGGGAAACAAUAGAUGGAUAGAGAGAAUGAUUAUAAUCCAUGUCUCAGUCCAUAUGAUAUCUAGAAUGGAGGAAUAUAUGAUCCCUUAUCUAAUGGACAAGUCAUUGACAAAGGUCAGAGUUCAUCUACAAGGUCAGAGUUCGACAGAAGCUUUUGAGAGCUACGAUUGCCAGUCGGUUCUUGAAGUUAUUCGCAAUAAUAGUUUUAGACUUAUCCAAGUGGGAGACUGUUGGAUUAAUGUCUAAGUCCAUAACUAUAAUUGGUAAGACUUGACCCAACCCGGCAUGGUCCAUUUGGGUUGCAUGGCAUCAUGCAUUUGGAUAGACUAAAAUGAGAGAAAUAACACUUAAGGUUUAUUAAUAUAUUAUAAGUUCUAAUAUAUUAAUAAGAUUAUUUAAAUAGUAUUGAUCAAGAAUUAAUCUAGAAUUAAUUAAGUGAUCAAAAGAAGACUAAUUAAAUAUAUGGGUUGAUUAUCAUCCAUACUUAUAUAUUGGGCUAAUGCUCCAUGGAUUAUCAAGUUAGGCUAAAAACCAUAAGAUGCUCCAUGGUGUAUUUGAACCCAUGGAUCCAAGGAAAUGGAAAGCCAUGACAAUUAGGGUUUACCCUAAUUGUGACUAACUAUAUAAUGAUCUUAUGAUUGAAGAAAUCGACCACUAGUGAAACAAGUGAGGGCAAGCCAAUUUUGAAGUGUUCUAUUUCUCUCUAAGUUAUUCCAAAUGCACUUGAUGUUGUGUGAACCAUUUGAGGUGUCACACUUGGGGCACUAGGCACUCAAGCUUCAUGAAGACAUUCUACAUCAAAGAGGUAUGUAAUUCUAACUUGAUAUAUUCAUAUGAAUCAAUGUUAUUAUGCUAGUUAGGAUGAAUACCUUGGAAGGAUCAUAUUUGUAUAUAUAAUAGAGAAAACAUAGAUCCAAGG
rnacentral:lncRNA from 1 species